UGUAGCCUACGGGGGGCAGCAGUAGGGAAUUUUCGUCAAUGGGCGCAAGCCUGAACGAGCAAUGCCGCGUGAACGAGGAAGGUCCUCGGAUCGUAAAGUUCUGUUGAAGGGGAAAAAGAGCGGAGAGAGGAAAUGAAUUCCGAUUGAUAUUACCCUUCGAGGAAGUCACGGCUAACUACGUGCCAGCAGCCGCGGUAAUACGUAGGUGGCGAGCGUUAUCCGGAAUGAUUGGGCGUAAAGGGUGCGCAGGCGGCCUGCUAAGUCUGGAGUGAAAGGUACCGGCUCAACCGGUACAGGCUCUGGAA
rnacentral:rRNA from 1 species